AUUGAACGCUGGCGGCAGGCCUAACACAUGCAAGUCGAACGAGUGGCGGACGGGUGAGUAAUGUCUGGGAAACUGCCUGAUGGAGGGGGAUAACUACUGGAAACGGUAGCUAAUACCGCAUACCACUGGGUGGUUCUAGAUUGGAUGAGCUAGUUGGGGGGGUAAAGGCUCACCUAGGCGACGAUCCCCAGCUGGUCUGAGAGGAUGACCCGCAACACUGGAACUUAGACACGGUCUAGACUCCUACGGGAGGCGGCAGUGGGGAUUAUUGCACAAUGGGCGCAAGCCUGAUGCAGCCAUGCCGCGUGUAUGAAGAAGGCCUUCGGGUUGUAAAGUACUUUCAGCGGGGAGGCGUUACCCGCAGAAGAAGCACCGGCUAACUCCGUGCCAGCAGCCGCAGUAAUAC
rnacentral:rRNA from 1 species